CCUACGGGAGGCAGCAGUGGGGAAUAUUGGACAAUGGGCGCAAGCCUGAUCCAGCAAUGCCGCGUGGAUGAAGAAGGUCUUCGGAUUGUAAAGUCCUUUCGGCGGGGACGAUGAUGACGGUACCCGCAGAAGAAGCCCCGGCUAACUUCGUGCCAGCAGCCGCGGUAAUACGAAGGGGGCUAGCGUUACUCGGAAUUACUGGGCGUAAAGGGCGCGUAGGCGGCGGCGACAGUCAGGCGUGAAAUUCCUGGGGCUUAACCUGGGGGCUGCGCUUGAUACAUCGCUGCUAGAGGACGGAAGAGGGUCGUGGAAUUCCCAGUGUAGAGGUGAAAUUCGUAGAUAUUGGGAAGAACACCGGUGGCGAAGGCGGCGACCUGGUCCGUUACUGACGCUGAGGCGCGACAGCGUGGGGAGCAAACAGGAUUAGAUACCCUGGUAGUCCACGCCGUAAACGAUGUGCGCUGGAUGUUGGGGCCCUUAGGGUUUCAGUGUCGUAGCUAACGCGGUAAGCGCACGCCUGGGGAGUACGGCCGCAAGGUU
rnacentral:rRNA from 1 species